rnacentral:rRNA from 1 species
UACGGGGGAUGCAAGCGUUAUCCGGAAUCAUUGGGCGUAAAGCGCCUGUAGGUUGUUUAAUAAGUCUGUUGUUAAAGCCUAGGGCUUAACCCUAGAAAAGCAAUGGAAACUACUAGACUAGAGUAUGGCAGGGGUAGAGGGAAUUUCUAGUGUAGCGGUGAAAUGCGUAGAUAUUAGAAAGAACACCGGUGGCGAAAGCGCUCUACUGGACCAUUACUGACACUCAGAGGCGAAAGCUAGGGUAGCAAAAGGGAUUAGAUACCCCUGUAGUCCUAGCCGUAAACGAUGGAUACUACAUGUUGUGCUUAAUGUACAGUACGGUAGCUAACGCGUUAAGUAUCCCGCCUGGGGAGUACGCUCGCAAGUGUG